CAAUGAAAGAAAUGCAGUUGAGGAGAAAAACACUGCCCUACGUCGAUGGAAGUACUUUGCAUUUGAGAGACACUUGCCAAUAUGUAUCCCACCAUGCUUUGGGAAAAAAUCGCGGAAGGACGUAAGAGGACGUACAAAAGUACCAAAGGCUGUAUUUCUGUAGCGGCUUGUGGAGGCAAGGCUGCACAGGGCACAGCGACGAGAAGCAAGUCAAGCUUCCAAGAAGGCUCCACUCCAGGCCACAGCUGUGUCCUUAGUGCCACAGUUAAUCGACUCCGAAUCGGCGUCGAAAGAACUGGAAGAUCGCACUCCAGACGAGAAUGGGUCCAGACCAAGGAUUGAUUCUGUGGACUGUGUCUCCAAAGAGGAUCUGUUGUACAGAGAGCGAAGUUGUCAUGUUGCGCAAGGAAAGCAAGCUUGAAGGAAGCACUGACGCUCUGCCUCGCUGUAUAUAAUAUCAAGGACCUCACAUAUCCAAGCGCUUUCGAUCAAACUUUAGGCGUCGUGCAAAGCACGCAAAGCAAUGUUGAAGAGUUCCCCGGUGCUGCAUGAGCAGCAAGCUUAUAAACAUUGUAGCAAAGAUGAAGUUACAUUGCACCUGCUGACAAAAAUGGCGUGCGAAGUUUGUACACUUCGACGCUAAACAAUGAAUUCUAUGUCUCUUCA
rnacentral:lncRNA from 1 species